rnacentral:tRNA from 1 species
GUGCCGGUGGUCUAGCGGUUAGAACGCUGGCCUUGUAAUCCUGGGGUCUCGGGUUCGAUUCCCGGCGGUGCC